GAUGAAGAACGCAGCGAAAUGCGAUAAGUAGUGUGAAUUGCAGAAUUCAGUGAAUCAUCGAAUCUUUGAACGCACCUUGCGCCUUUUGGUAUUCCGAAAGGCACACCUGUUUGAGCGUCAUGAAUACCUCAAUCUCCAUCUUUUCUUCGGAUUGAUGGGUGACUUGGAUGUUGAGCCCUGCUGGUAUGCUAUAUCAGCUGGCUUUAAACUUAUUAGCCGGCUCUGUACUGGAUCGGUUUGACUCGACGUGAUAAUAUUAUCGUUGAGGAUGCAUGUCUCAUGCAGCCGGAAAGUAUCAAAGCAGCUUCUAGCUUGCCUUUAGUGCACUUUUACAUUUUAGACCUCAGAUCAGGUGGGACUACCCGCUGAACUUAAGCAUAUCAAUAAGCGGAGGA
rnacentral:misc_RNA from 1 species